rnacentral:lncRNA from 1 species
GAUGGUAGGUCAUGGAUAAAUCGUCAAACUUCAACAUCAAUCAUAUGAUAGAUUUGAUUAGCUCAAGUCUAGUUGUGACUUCUAUAGAAAUUUCUUUUCAUCAAUCACACUACUAUGACCAUAGAUUCUUAGACUUAGCCUUUCAAAUCUCAUAAGACUACUCUUCUUUAUCAAGGUCGAUAGAUCCUAUCUUGAUACACAUCCCACUCUUACAGUGGACCAACUGUUGUCAA